GGCUUUUGCCUUGCAAUCUUGAAAAUUUGGUUGUAGAAUAUUGUUCUAAUAUGAAGGAGUUGCGAAGUGGGUUGAGCAAUCUCAAAUCUCUCAAAGAUUUGACAAUCCGCUCAUGUGGAAGUUUAGUCUCCCUUCCAGCAAGGGGUUUGCCGUGCAGCUUGAUACGUGUUAGUAUUAAAGACUGUGAUUCUUUGGAGUGUCUGCCGGAGGGAAUUGUGCAUCGCCGUAAUUACCGUAACGAGACAUCCCAUCUUGAGAAGUUGCAUAUCAGUAAAUGUAAAUCUCUCAGGUCCUCCCCAGAUGGCGAGUUUCCUGAUUCCCUAAGGACUCUUCAAAUUCACAACUGGACGGCACAAUCAUUAAACUCGCUGUGUUAUGGGCUUUCUCGUCUUACAGAAUUACACAUAUGGAACUGUCCUCAAUUAGAGUCGUUUCCAAGGACUGAAUUGCUCAUCCCCACUCUUAUCUCUUUAUCAAUUAGGUGGUGUGAAAGAUUGAGGUCUCUAUCCAGUCAUAUGCAAAGCCUCCAUCGUCUCCAACAUUUAAAAAUAUUUGGAUGUCAUCAAUUAGAGUUGUUCCCGGAGAUUGGAUUACCCAACACUAAGCUUGUCUCUUUCAAAAUUGGGUAUUGUGAAAAUUUGAGGUCUCUACCUAAUCAGAUGCAAAACCUCACUUCCCUUCGAUAUCUGCAGAUAAAAGAUUGUAGAGGUGUGGAAUUCUUAAAAUGGUGUUUACCACCAAACCUAUCUGACCUAUCGAUCAAUGGAUGCGAGAAUCUGAAACAGCCAAUGCUAGAGUGGGAACUCCACAGACUCACCUCUCUUACAAAAUUGGUCAUCGGUAACAUCAAGUCAACUGAAGAUAUUAUUUCCUUUCCAGAUGAUGACGGAUUACUGCUUCCCACUUCUCUAACCGUCCUCAAAAUCUCUCUCAAGAAUCUGAAAUCCAUAUCCAUGGGUAUCCAAAACCUCACAUCUCUUGAAAAAUUAGAAAUUUCGUCAUGCCCAAAACUCCAGUCCUUCCCAGCUGAGGGCUUCCCUGCUACUCUUGAACUCCUAGAUAUUUCCGGCUGUCCUCUACUGCGAGACCGUUGCUUAAAAUAUACAGGGGGAGAUUAUUGGCCUAUCAUUUCUCAUAUCCCCAGUGUUUGGAUACCCGAUUAAUGCAGGCUCUGCUGCACUCCAACAAUCAGGAUCAUCUCUUGAGAGAAUGUCCUGUUUCUUCUAAAAGUUAUGCUGCCUGAAACUUUUACCUAAAUAUGAUUCUAGCUGUUCUGCUUUGGAAUCUAUCCUGGGUUUUUGGCCCAUCUAACUCCGAUAUUGCAAGUCCAAAUCAUACGAGCCAGUGGUGCUGUCCAAAUCUAUACAGAGAUCAAAAUGAUCUGGAUAAGUAUGAAAAAUGGAAGAUGUGAAACUCUGCUGCCCUUGAGUUCUUCUGAGGAAAAUUUGCCUGAGCUUGCAUACGAUUUUAUCUUCUGUAUAAAUUUUGAGUCCCUAUUUUUAAUUUGAGAAAAAUAGGAAUGGAAACUUGAGAUACCAACCUAGUGGCCUCAUUGGAGUUGCAACUUUAUGUCAUGGUGCACUGCCAGUAGGCACAAAAUGGAUGGACAACACUACUAUUGCAGGCAGCUAAUGUUGGGGAUAUGUUUUUCUUUUCGAUUUAUUUGUACGUUAAUCAUGAGAAGAGAACAAAAGAAGUUGCGCCUAUGGUGAUGAUGAACCAUUGGAAAGCAGAGUGUGCUUAGGUCUCUUUGUGGAUGCAUUUAAAUUAGGCCUCUGUAUCUCGAAUUUUUGGACCAAGAGGGGCUUCAAUAACUCACCUCUCUCGAAAAGCUGGAAAUUAUUUGCUGCAAAAGGCUCUGUACCUUGCCAGAGGGGCUACCUUCCUCUUUAUUUUCUCUAACUAUCAAGGAAUGUCCACGGCUAAAAGGAAAACUCCAGAAUAAAAGAGGAAGAAAUUGGUCCAGAAUUGCUGAUUUUCAUAGCAUAUAUAUCGAUGAGGAAGAAUCUAAUUAACAACCUAGAAGAGAUGAUAAUCUUGUUUGCAGAAACAUCUGAUUUUCCUUGCAUAUUCAAAGUUUACCUCAAAGCUUUCAAAGGUACAACUCGUAAAGUUUGUAUGUGCUAUUAACAUUAAUUCCGUUGUCCAUUCUAAAUUUAUAUGAAAUCUGUGGCGGGAUUCCAAACCUGAUAUGCUUCAUGAGUGGCUGUUGACUGUAAUUUAUUCUUUGUUCACCAGUUAGUGGAAUUGAAAGUAUGAUUAUUUUUUUCAUUGUUGUUGCUACCAUGUCCAUGUGUUCUAUUUUGCAUCUAAAGAUUUCAAUCUGGAAAUGCAGAACUCCAAUCGGACAUGUUGAGCAUCUCCACAUUACAAAUGCUAUAUACAUUGUUUUUGCCUUUAUAGAGGACCCAUCAAUAUGCUGUCAACUGAAUUUCAAAUUUGUUCUUGCACGAAAAUAUCAAAGAAUAGAUAACCGCUGAGCUUGGCCUGAGGUAUGAUCUUUCUUCAUGCUGGUCACAACAUGAGUAUGCACAUCUAUUUGCGGUUAAGAGCACUUCAUUUCCUGAGUUGGAUUGGCGCUCUGCCUCUUGCCUAUGGUGUCCUGCAUUUACAUCUCCCACAUCCAAUCAUUUCAACGAGGUGCUUGGUGUCUUAAUUUGGUGGAAUUCACCACGACGAAAGAAAAAAAAAAAAACCGAACAGCUGUCAUAAGGAGUCCAAGGGAAAGAAACGAUUGCUGGCAGAACAUAGUAGCAGCUUUUUAUAUUUCUGUUUUCUCAAUGGAGUUUUCCAAAUGCAAUUUCCUUUAUGUCUAGUUCAUUGGUAUCCCCCCAAGUUUCUACAUGUUUAAACAGUACAGAUGAGUGGUAGUGUGAUGGUAGCAGAAGACUUGGCCCUCUGCUAUGGCUUUGCUUGUUUCCUUGUCUGAUUUUUUUCUCUGAUGGAUCAUGAACAUAUGUUGAUAUGAAUGGAUGGGAGCUUAAUUGUACAACAAAAUUGCUACAGCUCCAAAAUUCACAGUUUUUUCUCUACUUUGCCCUUGCAUGUACUGACAUGUGAAAAAACCAGUAUCUUGACGAGAAUACCCUUACAUUUAUACAAAUUUACACUAAAGUCACAUGAUUUU
rnacentral:misc_RNA from 1 species